GAUCUUUAGGCGGGAAUGGACAUUCACUAUUGGCUUGUUGGAGGGCGCCAAGCAUAGUUUCUUCAGUCUGAUUUGGUGGGCAUGAUGCUUAAGAAAGUUUACCACAUCCCUAUCCUAGUUUGGCCUUCAGCUGUUCCUGCUCUUUUUGGCUUGAUAAUGACUCUUCUCCUCCUUAAGACCCUGCUCAAGAUGUUCUCUCUUGCCCCUACUAGAGACUCAGGAAUGUAGGAACCAGAGCUUUGAUAGAGGAGCUCUGGUUUUUUUACUGACGAGCUGUUUGAUCUGCCAAAAUUCAUAAUUUUUAUAUUAACUGAGUAUAAAGUCAGUAUUUUUAGUUUUUUCUUCCAGUAAUUAUUGUGUAAUAGCAUUUCCAUGGAAAGUAGAUGCAUUUUUAUCUCAACUAUUUGUGCUCAGCUUCAUAGAUUCUCAUUCACCAAGAAUUCCUAUUUAGGACCACCUUUGAUGUGAUUUUAUGCCUUUCUACAUCUAUUCUGACAACUCCCAUCCAUGUCACCUUAGAUCUUCCCAACCCCCUACAUCCUUCC
rnacentral:lncRNA from 1 species